rfam:Tomato bushy stunt virus complete genome.
AAAUUCUCCAGGAUUUCUCGACCUAGUUCGUUUAUCUGGUGACUUGCGCUACCGUUGCUUUGCGUAGAGAAUUUCUCUCCAUAAUUAUUAUCUUUAGUUGUGGGGUUUGAAGGUUGGGUCUACCUUUCGGGGGGAUAAAUUGUAACUUCCAACAAACAAGCGACAUG